rnacentral:rRNA from 1 species
CAGCGACGCCGCGUGAGGGAUGACGGCCUUCGGGUUGUAAACCUCUUUCACCAGGGACGAAGAGAAAUUGACGGUACCUGGAGAAGAAGCACCGGCCAACUACGUGCCAGCAGCCGCGGUAAUACGUAGGGUGCGAGCGUUGCCCGGAAUUACUGGGCGUAAAGAGCUCGUAGGCGGUUUGUCGCGUCGUUCGUGAAAUCUUGAUGCUUAACAUCAAGCGUGCGGGCGACACGGGCAGACUUGAGUACUACAGGGGAGACUGGAAUUCCUGGUGUAGCGGUGAAAUGCGCAGAUCUCAGGAGGAACACCGGUGGCGAAGGCGGGUCUCUGGGUAGUAACUGACGCUGAGGAGCGAAAGCGUGGGUAGCGAACAGGAUUAGAUACCCUGGUAGUCCACGCCGUAAACGGUGGGUACUAGCGUGUGGGUCCCUUUUCACGGGAUCCGUGCCGUAGCUAACGCAUUAAGUACCCCGCCUGGGGAGUACGGCCGCAAGGCUAAAACUCAAAAUGAAUUGACGGGGAAGGGCGAAUUCCAGCACACNUGGCGGGCCGUUACUAGUGGAUCCGAGCUCGGUACCAAGCUUGAUGCAUAGCUUGAAGUAUUCUAUAGUGUCACCUAAAUAGCCUUGGCGUAAUCAUGGUCAUAGCUGNUUCCCUGUGUGA